rnacentral:rRNA from 1 species
AUUGAACGCUGGCGGCAGGCCUAACACAUGCAAGUCGAGCGGCAGCGGGAAAGUAGCUUGCUACUUUUGCCGGCGAGCGGCGGACGGGUGAGUAAUGCCUGGUAAAUUGCCCAGUCGACGGGGAUAAAAGUAGGAAGAGGCUGCUAAAACCGCAUACGCCCUAAGGGGGAAAGCACGGGCCCUUCGGACGUUGCGCGGUCGGCUACGCCCGGGCGGGAUUAGCUAGUUGGUGAGGUAAUGGCUCACCAAGGCGACGAUCCCUACCUGGUCUGAGAGGAUGAUCAGCCACACUGGAACUGAGACACGGUCCAGACUCCUACGGGAGGCAGCAGUGGGGAAUAUUGCACAAUGGGGGAAACCCUGAUGCAGCCAUGCCGCGUGUGUGAAGAAGGCCUUCGGGUUGUAAAGCACUUUCAGCGAGGAGGAAAGGUUGGCGCCUAAUACGUGUCAGCUGUGACGUUACUCGCAGAAGAAGCACCGGCUAACUCCGUGCCAGCAGCCGCCGUAA